AUGAACGCUGGCGGCAGGCUUAACACAUGCAAGUCGAGCGGUAACAGGACCAGCUUGCUGGUUGCUGACGAGCGGCGGACGGGUGAGUAACGCGUAGGAAUCUACCUAGUAGUGGGGGAUAGCCCAGAGAAAUUUGGAUUAAUACCGCAUACGCCCUACGGGGGAAAGGAGGGGAUCUUCGGACCUUUCGCUAUUAGAUGAGCCUGCGUGAGAUUAGCUAGUUGGUGGGGUAAAGGCUCACCAAGGCGACGAUCUCUAGCUGGUCUGAGAGGAUGAUCAGCCACACUGGGACUGAGACACGGCCCAGACUCCUACGGGAGGCAGCAGUGGGGAAUAUUGCACAAUGGGCGCAAGCCUGAUGCAGCCAUGCCGCGUGUGUGAAGAAGGCCUUCGGGUUGUAAAGCACUUUCAGCGAGGAGGAAAGGUUGGCAGUUAAUACCUGUCANCUGUGACGUUACUCGCAGAAGAAGCACCGGCUAACUCCGUGCCAGCAGCCGCGGUAAUACGGAGGGUGCGAGCGUUAAUCGGAAUUACUGGGCGUAAAGCGCGCGUAGGCGGCUAAGUCAGUCAGAUGUGAAAGCCCCGGGCUCAACCUGGGAACUGCACCUGAUACUGCUUAGCUAGAGUUUGGUAGAGGGGUGUGGAAUUUCCUGUGUAGCGGUGGAAAUGCGUA
rnacentral:rRNA from 1 species